UGACCUUGCUCAAAAAUGCAAAAUUGACUGGUCUGAUGAACACAGGAUGGCCGAGCAGUGAUAGUUGUACAUUUCCAUCACUCGUUGUGUUGAUUUCAUCAUCUCCGUUAGGUGAUGUUUUUACACUAUAGAAUCAUAUUGCAAAUGCACGUGCAUUGUUGUGCAACUGGUAACCCAAAAAUAAAAAUAUGGUUGUAAAUGCAUUUACCGGUCAUUCUGAUAUUAAUGCUCGCUAUGGGAACACAGGAUGGCCGGGCAGUGAUAGUUGUACAUUUCCAUCACUCGUUGUGUUGAUUUCAUCAUGUCCAUUAGGUGAUGUUUUUACACUAUAGAAUCAUAUUGCAAGUGCGCGCGCAUUUGCAAUAUGUUUCAAUGUGCAUUUACCAUAUGAAAUUUGAAAUGCUCAAAAAUGCAAAAUUGACUGGUCUGAUGGACACAGGAUGGCCGAGCAGUGAUAGUUGUACAUUUCCAUCACUCGUUGUGUUGAUUUCAUCAUGUCCAUUAGGUGAUGUUUUUUCACUAUAGAAUCAUAUUGCAAGUGCGCGCGCAUUUGCAAUAUGUUUCAAUGUGCAUUUACCAUAUGAAAUUUGAAAUGCUCAAAAAUGCAAAAUUGACUGGUCUGAUGGACACAGGAUGGCUGAGCAGUGAUAGUUGUACAUUUCCAUCACCUGUUGUGUUGAUUUCAUCAUGUCCAUUUGUUUAUGUUUUCUCACUUUUGCAAAGUCACUGUGCAUUUGCAAUAUGGUUCAAUGGGCAGGUACCAUCACGAAUUUGUCAUGCUAUAAAAAUCCUGCAGGAAUGUGAAAUUGACUGGUCUGAUGAACACAGGAUGGCCGAGCAGUGAUAGUUGUACAUUUCCAUCACUCGUUGUGUUGAUUUCAUCAUCUCCGUUAGGUGAUGUUUUUACACUAUAGAAUCAUAUUGCAAAUGCACGUGCAUUGUUGUGCAACUGGUAACCCAAAAAUAAAAAUAUGGUUGUAAAUGCAUUUACCGGUCAUUCUGAUAUUAAUGCUCGCUAUGGGAACACAGGAUGGCCGGGCAGUGAUAGUUGUACAUUUCCAUCACUCGUUGUGUUGAUUUCAUCAUGUCCAUUAGGUGAUGUUUUUACACUAUAGAAUCAUAUUGCAAGUGCGCGCGCAUUUGCAAUAUGUUUCAAUGUGCAUUUACCAUAUGAAAUUUGACAUGCUCAAAAAUGCAAAAUUGACUGGUCUGAUGGACACAGGAUGGCCGAGCAGUGAUAGUUGUACAUUUCCAUCACUCGUUGUGUUGAUUUCAUCAUGUCCAUUAUGUGAUGUUUUUACACUAUAGAAUCAUAUUGCAAGUGCGCGCGCAUUUGCAAUAUGUUUCAAUGUGCAUUUACCAUAUGAAAUUUGACAUGCUCAAAAAUGCAAAAUUGACUGGUCUGAUGGACACAGGAUGGCCGAGCAGUGAUAGUUGUACAUUUCCAUCACUCGUUGUGUUGAUUUCAUCAUGUCCAUUAGGUGAUGUUUUUACACUAUAGAAUCAUAUUGCAAGUGCGCGCGCAUUUGCAAUAUGUUUCAAUGUGCAUUUACCAUAUGAAAUUUGACAUGCUCAAAAAUGCAAAAUUGACUGGUCUGAUGAACACAGGAUGGCUGAGCAGUGAUAGUUGUACAUUUCCAUCACUUGUUGUGUUGAUUUCAUCAUGUCCAUUAGGUGAUGUUUUUUCACUAUAGAAUCAUAUUGCAAAUGCACGUGCAUUGUUGUGCAACUGGUAACCCAAAAAUUAAAAUAUGGUUGUAAAUGCAUUUACCGGUCAUUCUGAUAUUAAUGCUCGCUAUGGGAACACAGGAUGGCCGGGCAGUGAUAGUUGUACAUUUCCAUCACUCGUUGUGUUGAUUUCAUCAUGUC